rnacentral:rRNA from 1 species
UACGGAGGGUGCGAGCGUUGUCCGGAAUCAUUGGGCGUAAAGGGCGCGUAGGCGGCCGUCCCAAGCGUGCGGUGAAAGUCAGGGGCUCAACCCCUGAUCGGCCGUGCGAACUGGGGGGCUCGAGGCACUGUAGAGGCAGGCGGAAUUCCGGGGUGUAGCGGUGGAAUGGCGCAGAUAUCAGGAAGAACACCAAUGGCGAAAGCAGCUCUCUGGGACGGUACUGACGCUGAGACGCGAAAGCGUGGGGAGCGAACAGG